rnacentral:rRNA from 1 species
UACGAAGGGGGCUAGCGUUGUUCGGAAUCACUGGGCGUAAAGCGUACGUAGGCGGAUCGUUAAGUCAGGGGUGAAAGCCUGGAGCUCAACUCCAGAACUGCCUUUGAUACUGGCGAUCUUGAGACCGGGAGAGGUGAGUGGAACUGCUAGUGUAGAGGUGAAAUUCGUAGAUAUUAGCAAGAACACCAGUGGCGAAGGCGGCUCACUGGCCCGGUACUGACGCUGAGGUGCGAAAGCGUGGGGAGCAAACAGG